GGUGCACUGAGCUGUUACAUUAAAUUCUAGAACUAUUGCUAUUAUUCCUCCACUAAUAAUUAGUAAAGAAAUGCUUGUCACACUUCCCAUUGAAAGUUCAGUGUUUCAAAUUGUUGGGUUUUGCUCUCUGCCUCUUCCCUCCCCUUGUUGCCCCACUGACAUCAGUUAUGUCACAGAGAUGCACCAUCCUCAUUGUUGUGCUUGGGGACUGUGACUGCAAGUUCUUUUGUCCCUUCCAGUGGGAUCACCUCUUUCUAACUCUCUCAGGCUAGGAAGACACCUGGGCCCUACGGUAGAAAUACAUGAGAUAGCAGCUCAUGACAUGGGAGGCUGUUAAUACCACGUUGCUACCACGCAAGCUGCAAAGUAAAUAAUCAGACGACUGAAAGAACAGAUGGUCAUUUGUGGCCAUGUAAUUACAUGGCCAUGGCUGCCCUACAAACGAAUCUGCUACUAUCACUUGCAAACUGCAGACAAAGAAAAUGAAAAAUACCAACAACAUUCAUGAGCCCACGUGCACUUCUACAAAAUCUGAGAGGAAGAAAGGUUCAAGGCAAACAAAUUGCAACAAGCCCUCAUCAGAUGUUACAGAAGAUGAACGAAAUUACUCUCUUUACACAUUGGACAGACUCAGCCUUUAUAUUCAGAGCAGCUGAAUCCAUCCCUGUCUGUGCAUCUCACCACACUAUUGCCCCAAAAAUUCUGAGGCAAGAGAUGUGAAAUAGUCCAGCAGUACAAAAAAGGGUCCAUAAAUCACAAGUAUGCUGGUCUGCUGUGUCUCCUUAGGGAUCAUCCAGUGAAGCCAGGGCUACCCCCAGGCAAACAGUGCAUGUGUCAUAAAAGUGAAGCAGCAACUUUAGUCCCACACAUCCAAUCCAAAAUAUAGGAAGGACAGAAGUAUUCUGGAUUUGUAGUUUUCAACUAUCCUGUACAGCAGAGAACUAUCAAAAUUUUCAAUGCUUUUCUUAAAAAAUACCCAAAACAACA